AGGGGGACCUUCGGGCCUCUCGCGUCAGGAUAUGCCUAGGUGGGAUUAGCUAGUUGGUGAGGUAAGGGCUCACCAAGGCGACGAUCCCUAGCUGGUCUGAGAGGAUGAUCAGCCACACUGGAACUGAGACACGGUCCAGACUCCUACGGGAGGCAGCAGUGGGGAAUAUUGCACAAUGGGCGCAAGCCUGAUGCAGCCAUGCCGCGUGUGUGAAGAAGGCCUUCGGGUUGUAAAGCACUUUCAGUCGUGAGGAAGGUUUAUGCGUUAAUAGCGUAUAGAUUUGACGUUAGCGACAGAAGAAGCACCGGCUAACUCCGUG
rnacentral:rRNA from 1 species